AAGGGGGGAGGAUGGCUUCACUUUCCCCUCUACUUUCCCAUGUACAAGGCAACGAUUUCUCAAGUCUGGACUUACCAUACAUGGGAAAGAAAUUAAUUUCUCAUCCCCAAGUCAUUUUUCCCAUAAACCAAACGGAGCCUACAGGUUAUAAGCUUCAACCUUUAAGGAUUUUCAUAACAAAUCUUGCAAUCUCAUACCAAGGAAAUAAAAAUAAAAAAAAGGAUCCAUGCGUGUAAUUUCUAGAUUAAAAUCUCACUUUUUACGCAUGCCAUUAUCUAAGGAUUAGGUAUGACUACACACGAACAAUCUUACAAUUAUCUGCAAUUCGUCCUUCAAUGGCCAAAGACGUUAUAUCAAAUGAACAAUAAGACGUACAUUUCUUCAAAGAACUAAAUUAUGUGGAUUUCAACUUGCUCUCACUUAUAUGUUUCUCUCUCUCCUCCUAUUGUUUAGCUUAAGGUUUUAGGGCGUGGUUGUCUAAGAACAAUAAGGUAAACAUGCUUACAAAAAAAGAUGGACAGCAAGGAUGGACAUAUGCGAAUGUGAGCUUUUACACAUUGCCACUAAUUUUCUCCAUGAUUUUGUUGAAAUCAUUAACAAAAUAAGAAACUUUAGUAAUUGAAGCGAAAGAGACUAAUUAUCAGAAGAGAAAAUAUGAAAAAAGAAGCUCCCAAUCCAAACUUUAAGUCACAAGUUUAACAGUUUACUUUAAAACAAAAGCAAGUUACGAAACAAUCCCCUGAUUUCCUUGUUAAACAUCAACCGACCCAUUAUUGAUGAGGAUUGAGAAUCUAAGAGCAUAUGGACGAUGGAUCUCUCUCUCUUUUUGAAAACAAAAACAAAAACAAAAAUCAACUUCAUUAUCCUUAGUGAAUUUGUUCGGGAUUAGUUGUGUUGAAUUAGUACAGCUUACUUACGCAAUCGAAUAUCAAACCUAGCUAGCUAAAAAGAGAAAAAGAAAGGCCACAACGACAGUACUGUAGUAUACGUGAAGAAUCUUAUGAUCUAUAAUAUUCUGUAUUAUUGGCCAUCAUUUUCAAUCCUUAUUAAAGAAAACUUGCUUCGCCAUAAUUUCAAGUUGUUCUGAAGGCAGGCAUAGAGAGCACGUAGCUUGGCAAGGGAGGUAAGGGCACUUCGAAAGAUUCCUUCUCAUCAUCUAUACAAGGAAAUGUGUUCUCAUCAAGCUACGGGACAAGGCAAAUUAGCAACCUUUAUACUCAGAUAUAUUAUUCCAAGCAGAUAAACAUGUAAAUAUAUGUGAAGAAUAUUAUGAUAAUGAUCAAUAUAGAAUCUGUAACAUUAUCAGAGGGGUAUCGAUCGACCAUCCAAAGAAAAGGAUAUCCUCUGCAUAUGUGCAUGCCAACAACUAUAAAAGGAGACCAUGAGGCAAUGAAUCAUCAAAGCAAAGACACAGAUAUCCCAACUAAAAAUCAAUCAGUGAGACAAUGGCUGGAACUGGAACCAAUGAUAUUAAAAUUAAAGGGUUCGAUUUGAGCAACAACAGCGGCAACACGUCGGGAUUAACCCACUUCGCCAACAGAGCUGAUGGGGGCGACAAGGGCGACAAUAAAAUCGAGGUUGAGGGUGCUAAAGCGCAAGAUAACAAGGGAAACUUGAAAGUACUUACCGAUUUCGCCCAACGCGGUGAAGUGGGCAGGUCGGAUCGCCAAGAACUUCUCAAGCCUCAGGCAUGAAAUUGAAGAAGGCCAUACCAUAUAUGUGCUGAAUUAUCUACACAAAAAUAAGAGCUGAUGUUUUAUCUGAGGCUCCUUCCUUGGUUAGGCCUCGUUAUCAUGUGUAAUAUUAAUAUUAUUAUUCUAAUAAAAUAAUGGCAGCUUAUUAUUAAAUAUAUCAAAAUUCUAUACGUAUAACUUUUAGAUUCUUGAGUGGGAAACCCUAGCUGCAUUCUGGUCCCUUUUCUUCUUGCCGACAACCAACCACAAGGAAACUAAAGGGGGAGGUGGCCACUGCCCCUCCCCCCCUUCGCCCAUCUUCCCUUUCUCUCCUCAUCUUCCCUUCUUUUUCUCCCAUCUUUUCCCUUCCUCUUAUGCCCUCUUCUCUUCCCAUUCCCUUUCCCAUAUAGUCUAGAUCUAUUUGGAUCUAGGUUUUGUUUGUUUGUUUGUUUGGUUUGGUUUGGUUGUUUUUGCAGUAUUCUAGGUGACUGGUAGUGACGUUGGAUUGUGUCUAUUAUCGGGAGAGUUGUGAUACCUAGUGGCUGAUGUUUUGUCUCUGUUUCAACGACGGCGGCAGUAGCGACACUAGUGAUAGUUAUUGGAUGUGGUGCUCUUCUUUAUUCUGCACUUACCGAAGAACUAUGCUUGGUCAUAGGAGGUUUUCUUUGUCAGAUUCUGAGUUGAAGUGGAGUGCUUCUUAGGGGUCCUUUUAUUGUUGCUUCUAUGUUCCUCCUCUGUGUUCUCUCCUGUUUUCUGUUAUGGUAUGCCUUGUAGUUUGUAUGGGUGUCAAAAUACUAUGAUUUUGCUCAUAGAAGGCUUCUUUUGACAGUUGGGAUAUUCUACGAUCCUCUUCUGUGGGUUUACUAUUUGGGGUUUCUGUCGUUCUCUCAUGUGGGUGUACUAUGUUGGUAUCUAGUUGAGGUUUUCGUCGGAGUUCUUUUUGUUAGUUUUCGUUUUUGAUUUGUUCUUUUAUUGUAAUGGUCCAAAGCGACCAGAAUUAAACUCUCUUGUUAGUCCAUGACAUGUGUGGUACUCUUUUCUCCCCGGGGUUUGUCCCUUGAGAUUGCCCUAGGAAGGUUUUAACGAGGCCACUAUAUCAUGUUGCUCAUUGUACGUCUUUGGUUCUAUUAAUUAAUUCUCUUUCUUAAAAAUAACAAAAAUAAAUAAAUAAAUAAAUAAAAAUUUAGAUUAUUGAUAACGAUGUCAACAAGAGAAAAUGAUUAAAAAGUCCUUUCUCCAAUUCGUGAUGUUACAAAAUGAGACUUCAAAUUGUAAAACUAUAGUUGGAUACGAGUAUAAAACUGAACCAGGCAAUGUAUGGGCCAGAGUGACCAAGGUUGUACGACAGUGAACUAAUGGCAAUUUCUCGUUGCAUGCACGCAUAUGCAAUUGAAGAAUGCCAUAAUAAUAUGUGUUUUUACUAAAUUAUCUACACUAAAAUAAAAACUGAGGCAUUAUCUGAGGCUCUUUCCUUGGCUAGGCCUCAUUUUCAAUUUUGAUUUCAACUUUGAUUUCGCUUAAACUUUGAUUUUGAGCUAGACUGUAAUUUCGACUUUGAUUCUGAUUCUCUCCCAAUUCAUGCCUUAAGAAUCAGUUUCUCCCAACUCUAUUUACCAAAACCAAAAACUCUAAACUUUUCAAUUCGUCUGGGUACUCUCAGAGUUUCAUGCCCUAGUUUCCUCUCGCCAAAAAGCCAAAAAGACUUGGCUUUCAUGUAAUGCUAUACUCCUCGAUUGAACAAGCUGCGUCUUCAAAUUCAACUUUCUCACUUCCCUUCUCUUUACUUUCUUUUCUUUUGUUUUCCAGCCCGGAAAAUCAUGGAAGCAUUACAAAUUUAAGAGAAUAUUCUAGUAUUAGGGUCCAAACUGUACUAUUUAGGUAUUUUCAUUCUGAUUAAGAGUUCUUUUCUAGAAAUUUGGUGAAGAAAAAAUAGAGUUUCUGUUUUAGUGUUUGAUUUUCAUUAUAGUGAGUUAUGUGAAAUCGAAAUGUUUCUUGUGUGAUUUCAUCACUGCUUUCAAAUUGCAAAUUAAGGAUUUGAAGGUUACAAAUUAUUAUGUAGAUAAUUUUUGGGAAUUUAAGAGGCAGUACAGUGUUUGUAUAAGUCUUGAGAUAGACCAAUUUACCACAUGCUCGAUUUCUAUAUAUAAAUUUUUUUAAAUCAUUCUUUUGUUUUAUUUAUUCUGUUAAUUUGUCAUAAUGUGUAAUAUGAUAGCUUCUAAUUCUUUCUUCCUAUUUCUUCUUUUUUGUUAUUCUCUCCCAAAUGAAAUGAAGACCUAACUUAUAUCAAGAAGAAGAGGAUGGAUCCUUACAUAUGAAGAUUUUAAAAUUAACAUUAUUGGAAGACAGUAGGAGUAUCGGCAAUUUGAUACAAGUAUCGGAGUAUCAAAUACGAGCAUGCCCGUCUUUAACAAUGUCUCAUUUCAAUUAGUACAAAAGAAAAAUAAAGGCAGAGUUCAAAAUAGAUUGUUCAGUUUCGAAAGUGACAUUGAGAUUUAAAAAGACUAGACAUUAAGAUGGCAAGAGAGAUCUAAAAGGAUCAAACAAAAAAAAUGAAUGAAAAAUUGAAAAUGCCCUAGAAAGGGAGGAAAUCUUAGUUGCAAUGGGGAUAACAGUAUUUUGCUAUCCUCGAUCAAUAAUUUUAUACCACGUGACCUAAGGAGGCAUGUCAAUCUAGCUCAUCUGGUCCACCGUCCAUGAUAUGAACUCGACUUGAGAGUUUUUUUUUUUUUUUUUUUUUUUUUUUGGGGUUGAAGUAGAACAACUAGACUUGAGAGUUGAUGUCACAUCUCAAGGUCGGUUCCACCGUAGCACGAUAUUGUCUGCUUUGGGCCCCCUCUUUGUCCUCGCGGUUUUGUUUUUAGGAGCUCACGAGCAACUUCCCAGUUGGUCACCCAUCUUGGGAUUGCUCUAGCCCAAACUCACUUAACUUCGGAGUUCUCAUGACUUCGAAAUCAGUGAGCUCCCAAAAGGCCUCGUGCUAAAAGGAGGUGGGCAUAUACAUAUAAGGCGCAACACCCCCUCUCCGUUAGUCGAUGUGGAAUGUUACAAUCCACCCCCUUUAGAGGUCCGACGUCCUCGUCGGCACAGUCUCACCACACGGCAGAGUGGCUCUAUGCCAAAUUGUCGCAUUCCGGGAUCGGCUCCGUCGUAACACGAUAUUGUCCGCGUUGGGUCAACCUCUCUGCCCUCACGAUUUUGUUUCUGGGAGCUUACGAGCAACUUCCCAGUAGAUCACUCAUCCAAACUCGCUUAACUUCGGAGUUCCCAUGACUCCGAAGCCAGUGAGCUCCCAAAAGACCUCGUGCUAAAUGGAGGUAGGCAUGUACAUAUAAGGCACAUCACCUCCGCUCCGUUGGUCGAUGUGGGAUGUUACAGUUGAGGGCUCCGUUGGUCGAUGUACGAUGUUACAGUUGAGGGCUCCGUUGGUCGAUGUAGGAUGUUAUAGUUGAGGCAGCCAAAAUAGAAGGGAAGCAACCCUACUCCACUCCCUCUCCCCAUGUGCCCAGUUCUCUACUCGUUUACUUCACCUUUUAAACCCCUUCGUACUUGAAGACCUGGCUGGCAAUUUGAUUGAAGCGAAAGAGACUAAUUAUCCAUGCUUUUGUUGAAAUCAUUAACAAAAUAAGAAACUUUAGUAAUUGAAGCGAAAGAGACUAAUUAUCAAAACAGAAAAUAUGAAAAAAGAAGCUCCCAAUCCGAACUUUAAGUCACAAGUUUAACAGUUUACUUUAAAACAAAAGCAAGUUACGAAACAAUCCCCUUAUUUACUUGUUAAACAUCAACCGACCCAUUAUUGAUGAGGAUUGAGAAUCUAAGAGCACAUGGACGAUGGAUCUCUCUCCCUUUUUGAAAACAAAAACAAAAACCAACUUCAUUAUCCUUAGUGAAUUUGUUCUGGAUUAGUUGUGUUGCAAUGGAACAUCGAACCUACCUAGCUAAAAGGAAAAAAGAAAGGCCACUACGACAGUACUGCAGUAUAUUAUUCCAAGAAGACAAAUGUAGACUAUAUACGUGAAGAAUAUCUAGUAUUGGUCGUCAUUUUCAAUCCUCAUAAAAGAAAACUUACUUCGCCAUAAUUUCAGGUUGUUCUCAAGGCAGGAAGGUAAGGACACUUGAAAAGAUUCCUUCUCAUCAUCUAUAUAAGGAAAUGUGUUCUCAUCAAGCUAGGGGACAAGGCAAAUUAGCAACCUUUAUACUCGAUAUAUUAUUCCAAGCAGAUAUACAUGUGAAGAAUAUUAUGAUCUUGAUCAAUAUGGAAUCUGUAUCAUGAUCAGUGGAUGUAUCGAUCGACCAUCCAAAGAAAAAGGAUAUCCUCUGCAUAUAUGUGUGCAUGCCAACAACUAUAAAAGGAGACCAUGAGGCAAUGAGUUGAUCAUCAAAGCAAACACACAGAAAUCCCAACUAAAAAUCAAUCAGUGAGACAAUGGCUGGAACUGGAACCAAUGAUAUUAAAAUUAAAGGGUUCGAUGUGAGCAACAACAGCGGCAACACGUCGGGAUUAACCCACUUCGCCAACAGAGCUGCCGAGGGCGACAAGGGCGACAAUAAAAUCGAGGUUGAGGAUGCUAAAGGGCAAGGGAACACGGGAAACUUGAAAGUACUGACCGACUUCGCCCAACGCGGUAAAGUGGGCCAGUCGGAUCGCCAAGAACUUGUCAAACCUCAGGCAUGAAAUUGAAGAAGGCCAUACCAUAACCACUUGUCUGCUUGAUAGAUAUAUGUGCUAAAUUAUCUACACAAAAAUAAGAGCUGAUGUUUUAUCUGAGGCUCCUUCCUUGGUUAGGCCUCGUUAUCAUGUGUAAUAUUAAUAUUAUUAUUCUAAUAAAAUAAUGGUAGCUUAUUAUUAAAUAUACCCAAAUACUAUACGUAUAACUUUUAGAUUAUUGAUACUGGUGUCAACAAGAGAAAAUGAUUAAAAAGUCCUUUCUCGCAUUCGUGAUGUUAGAA
rnacentral:lncRNA from 1 species